AGUGAACGCUGGCGGUAGGCCUAACACAUGCAAGUCGAACGGCAGCACAGGAGAGCUUGCUCUCUGGGUGGCGAGUGGCGGACGGGUGAGGAAUACAUCGGAAUCUACUCUGUCGUGGGGGAUAACGUAGGGAAACUUACGCUAAUACCGCAUACGACCUACGGGUGAAAGCAGGGGACCUUCGGGCCUUGCGCGAUUGAAUGAGCCGAUGUCGGAUUAGCUAGUUGGCGGGGUAAAGGCCCACCAAGGCGACGAUCCGUAGCUGGUCUGAGAGGAUGAUCAGCCACACUGGAACUGAGGCAGGGUCCAGACUCCUGCGGGAGGCAGCAGUGGGGAAUAUUGGACAAGGGGCGCGAGCCUGAUCCAGCCAUACCGCGUGGGUGAAGAAGGCCUUCGGGUUGUAAAGCCCUUUUGUUGGGAAAGAAAUCCAACUGGCUAAUACCCGGUUGGGAUGACGGUACCCAAAGAAUAAGCACCGGCUAACUUCGUGCCAGCCGCCGCCGUAA
rnacentral:rRNA from 1 species